CAGGCCUAACACAUGCAAGUCGAACGGCAGCGCGGGAGCAAUCCUGGCGGCGAGUGGCGAACGGGUGAGUAAUAUAUCGGAACGUGCCCAUUAGUGGGGGAUAGCCCGGCGAAAGCCGGAUUAAUACCGCAUACGACCUGGGGGUGAAAGCGGGGGAUCGCAAGACCUCGCGCUAUUGGAGCGGCCGAUAUCAGAUUAGCUAGUUGGUGGGGUAAAGGCCUACCAAGGCAACGAUCUGUAGUUGGUCUGAGAGGACGACCAGCCACACUGGGACUGAGACACGGCCCAGACUCCUACGGGAGGCAGCAGUGGGGAAUUUUGGACAAUGGGCGCAAGCCUGAUCCAGCAAUGCCGCGUGCAGGAAGAAGGCCUUCGGGUUGUAAACUGCUUUUGUCAGGGAAGAAAUCCUUUGGGUUAAUACCUCGGAGGGAUGACGGUACCCUGAAGAAUAAGCACCGGCUAACUACGUGCCAGCAGCCGCGGUAAU
rnacentral:rRNA from 1 species